GCUUUAUUUAGUCUAAGCAGAGUAUAAUGAACUAGAGAAAUACACAGUUCAGGAUCACUAAGGGAAAAACCACCCGGAUUAGGCAAAACCAGACCCAGGCCAACAACAUGUCAAAUCACACCUGUUUCAGCAAAAAAAAAGGAAAACAUUCUGGGAACCAAAAGAAUAAAUCAAUUCUACCAAUCCGUCAUAACAGCAUGAUGGAUUGAAACCGCUGUGCCUUGAAACGCAGACCAGAUCAAAUGAAGAACACAAGCUGUGAAGGUAAUGUUGAAUAUGGGAAUACUUUUCUUUUUUUUGUCUGUUGGUUAUUUAUUUUUUGUUUAUUAUUUGUUUUUAAAGGCUCUCAUUGGAUGAACGAUUGCUGCAAAGAUGGUCAGAGGGCUGAACUUUUAAAAAAUUUGGUCCUUGUAACCAAUGGAGAUGUUGGCGACCUCGUCCCUACUUACGUCUGAAAGGGCUCGAGGAAGAAUCGACCUCGCUCUUCUUCUGAAGUGAAAUCAUGUUUUCAGAAACACCUUUGAAAUGGAUUACACUAUUAAAAAAUUAGCAUUUGGCAUCCCCAGAACAAGGUCUUGCCAGGGUUCACAGGUAGUACUUUCAGACAUAGCAGAGCAGGCUGUGUUUAAGGCAGAAUUCUCUCUUCAUUGGCGUCAAAACCCUGACUGGAGCUAAGCAAUGGUGUGCUGGGUCCUCUACUGUUGGCACUGUCCUCUCCGGUGAAUGGAUGCAGUCACUGGUUUAUGGUGUCUCAAAAGCACACAGACACCCCGACUCAGAGAGGAUUGGUAUGUAAGCAGGUAAGAGCAGUCACAAAUAGGUUUUUACCUCCAAUCUAUAAAACAGCAUUCAACAUUAGGAGGAAAGGAGGGACACAGAAUCGUUGCGGUAUGGGAAAUGAGAAUGAGGUUGAUUCUAAAGCCAGACAGCCAAGACAAGCUGCUUGUUUGCCUACUCUUUCUUUUUUUUUUUUUUUUUGACAAAAGACUUUAAUUAAAUUAUCUUUAUACAUGCAAUAAUGAUUCAGUUACACUCAUUUACAGUUGUGCAAUAGACUCAUGUCUCUGAAUCCACAUGACUGUUCAGAGUCCGUUCAUCUCCCCGACGGAGCCAAGAGUGAUUGGUCGAUACAAUCUCUUUGUACUUUCCUAUAAACAAGUCAUUUGUACACAGGGCUUGUGCAGAAAUCAAAAUAUAGAACAACAGGUUUGUUUCAAAUAUCAAAUCCUAAAAAAUAAUCAUCACAAUGGAGCCCAAUGUCAGAGCAGAUAAUCAGCAGGAAGGGGAAAAUAAAAUUCAUGAUCCUUUAAACACAUGGAUAUAAAAUCAGGUCUUUGAGCAAGGGUGCUUCGAUGUACAAGAAAUAAAAUCACAUCAUCUUAUGUUGUUGAUAAAUCGUUUCCUUCUCUUUGACGCCAUGGAAUAUACUAUUAUUCUAUCCAUGUUGUCAGUGGUUUAUUUUUUAAGCUUUCUUUUAAACAUUUGUACACGGUGUAUUGUGCCAUCUGUAAAUAAGAUGGUGAUAAAACAAAGUCAGCUGUAUAAUAUGUACAGUAGUAACACAUGUAAUUAGGAGCGCUAUUGGGUCAACAGAGGAUGCAUGUGGUGCUGCAUGUGUUUCCCUCUAAAAGACACUGCUUCCUUCCACCGCCCUAAACUCUCAUCCCUCCAGGUUGACACACACGUAAUCACAAUCAGAAUAAUAACAAUGAUAAUAAUUAAAUUUCUUGAUCGAAUGAUCCAACGUUAUUUUUUUAAGAUACAUCCUCAUCCUCAUGCAACAGACAAAUGGUUUGUCUGUUGCACCCCUAACCAUCUAGGUGUGGUUAGCUGCCCCAGGAGUGGGCGCUAGACAUGAGACAGUCGACGCUACAUGCUACAGACCCCUCCCUCCUCCAGGUGCCACAUCAGCGCCACCACAGACACAAUCGAAUCGGAUCUCAUUCGCAUGCAUUCGAUCAUCGCAGUGUCAGAGAAACCAUGGAGAUGUCAGGAAACAUAAUCACAACUAAGAGAUGCAUCAUGAUUCUAGCGGGCCGGUACAAAUAUCAAUGCAGAACCAACACACCGACGACCCUGCGAGUGUCGCGGUGCAGCGUCGACACUGACCUAAAGCAGGGCUCUCCGACUCAGUCCCACGCUCCCCUAGAUCCCUGAACUGCUGUGGAUACACGUUGUGACAUCAUUGUCCCUCAGAGUCAGGGUCCUCACAACAAACUACCAAACAGUCCUAUCACCUGACUCUGUUUUCGUAGUAUUUAUGUACACAAGGAAUAGCAAAGUAUUUGCCCCAGUACCCCCUCAAACGUUUUUCUUAUUUUUUUUUAUCAGACACGAUUCCCACACUGUCCGGGCGACCGUCUCUCUCCGCGGUUUCGUUGGCGAUAGGAUCAUGUCCUUGUUUUUUUUUUGCUCUUCUUAUUGUACAUUUCUUUUCAAUUUGCUACAUCACCCAAAAGAGAUCGGAGGCGUCGCUCAGAGGAGCUCCGAGGCUGACUUCCUGCAGACUCAGCGUGUGUGUGUUUGUGUGUGUGUGUGUGAGUGGAUGCCAGGCCCUGGCUCCGUCUGACCUUCUCGUUCCCGUCUCUCAUUGUCCACGUUUUGGGGAUCAGGGGUAAGGCAAGGCUCUGAACCCUCUCCACUAAUCGUGACAUCAUAGCGCUGAUGCCCUGAGUACGGGGAAUGAUUUUGUGGAGUUUCAGUAUAGCACACAACCCCCCCACCCACCUCUGCACCACCUCUCUCUGUCCCUCUCUCUUUGUCUCUCUCUGAGCCUGCAAUCCUUUCCUGUUUUUUUCUCGUUUCAUGUCCGCGGACGAAGCCUGGCCUCGCUGAAGUGUGACAAAGGGAAAGCUCCCCACUCCUAACCGCUUUUUAAAAUGAGGGGUAUUCAUUUCUUCCUUGCCCGUCCAACAGGAUUCUUUAAUUAUCUCUCCACUCUCAGUCAAUUACAUUUCACUUCCUUUCCUCUGCAAUCACCGCUAUUUUAGUUCCAGCGCUGCGCGCUGAGCAGGUGAGAGGCCGUGGCCUCGCUCCGCUACGUCUCUCCUACACUGCUGCCAUCGGCGGGACUCGUUAGACACGGCUGACGGAAGGACACUCGCUCUUCUGGAAGCAUGGGGUGGAAGGGGGCUCUGAGAAAAGGCAACGCCAACACAUACAUCAAAGAGAUAAAUGGGGAUGACAGAAUCAGACACAUGAGUUCGGGGGGCUAGGGAAACAAAUAAUUCAAAACCAUUAUAGGUCACUGCUGUGUGACGUGUGUGUGUUGUGUGUGUCUCUGAGUGCGUUAUAAUCUGUGCUAUAGGCGGGCAAUUAGAUUCAUCACACAGAUUACAAUGCCGGGCAGAGAUGUCAAAAUACAUUUUCAUUUAGAAGCAGAGUGUUUCAACUCUAAUGAUUACUGUGACAAAGGCUAGUUGACCGCCUGUGGGCUUCAUUUUUCAUGGCAAGUUGUGAUGGAUUUUAAUCAGUAUCAGAGGCCAGUCGAGGGGACAGCCGUGGUGGUAGCCAUGCCGACCAGACUAAGGUUAGGAUAACAUAACUGAAAAUUGUCCUGUCAGUUGAUCCAAAACCUGUUUCGUGUUUUUCUUCUUCUCCCUUUUCUGCUACCUGUCACUUAAAUAACAUCCGCUUCAGGGUGAAAGAGCAAUUAUGGCACUGGUUCCGAAAGUGUUGAAGUGAUGAUUUCACGUUACCUCAUUUAGGAAGGCCUGAAACACACAGCCGGAGCGGGGUCCUGUCAGCCGAGUACCUAUCAGGACUCUGGACUUAACGCGCAAUGAGGGACAAUCUAAACCAAAUAAAAAAAGAACAGACUAGAACUUCAAGCACAGACCACGAGAACGAGGAGACCGUAUGAACAGGGAUUUGGUGUUCAUCUCUGAAGAGCUCCAAGUGUUGCUGGAAGCCCAGGGCAUACAGUGCUCAGGAAAUGUCAUUUCUUAUGGAACAUUCGAUUUCCCAUUGAUUAAUUCGGUAUUUAACAAACGAUAAGCAGAAAUGGAUCGCUCAAGCCGUCGCCUCGUGUUGACCUACUUUGCAGUCGUUCGUGGUCUUACGUUCAACCCCAACUUCUUUUCAAGAGCUGUGGAGGGAUUCCGUUGUUCGAACAAGGCAGUUUUAAAGGAAAAACAAGGCUGCUCUAUGUCCCUGUUGUAUCAAAUGUGACGGAGUUUCUGUGCUUAACAAAUGUGAAACUACUCAGAAAAGUAAAGUGGUUCUAUUGAAAGGUUGUUCUGAUGAGCGAAGAACGAGCCUUUGUGCUUUGAAGGUUCCUCUAUGGCCAUAAAGAGCUGCAAACGAGGAAGCCUUUUAGAGGCGCGUCAUUCUCUCGUUAGCGGUCGCCUCUGGAGAAAGCCUGGACACCGUUGCAGAAAGGAUGCAGAAGGACACAUAACAUCACCCGCACAGCUGCCGCAUCUCAGCAACCCAGGGUCUCCAGCUGUUUUCUGGAGGUGUUUUCCCGCCCAUUGCCACUGUCUCCAUUGGGUACGAUUGCACUCCAUUCAUCGAUUUCCGGCAGGGAUCCAUCCAUCGCCAUCUUAUAUUAACACCUAGCUCUGACACAGAGGGAUUUGUCCCAUAUCCUCCCAACCUCGCUUUCAUCAUUUUGCCAGCGUUAUUGGAUGCCAGGUCAGCUGUUGUCAGCCUUGCCAGGGAGUAGGCAAAAAAAUAUAUAAUUCUCCCUAAUCUCCCUUCUGUCAGCCUGUUCAUUCUGUGGGCCAUCGCGCCUGCAAUUUGCUCCAAGUGAUUAUCCUUGGUGAUUUUUCACAUGGUUGCAGCUAAUGUAUAGGGGCUGGUAAUUACACUGUGAUUAGAGUGAAAGGUGAAAUAGCAUGUCUAAUGCGGUGUGGGCGAUAAUCGAAUGGUACUGAGCAUAGGCAUUAGGCGGCUUUUGGAAAUGUUGUUCAAAGCAGGAGAGGGUGAGCGAGAGAGGGAUUUCUGCAACAUGGUUUCUCCAAAUGGCAGCCACACCGGCUCCACGGCAGUGUUUGCGUGGGGUUUGGCAUCAGCUGCCUGGCUAAGAGCAUCUUAUGGUAAAUGAUGUGUUUUGGGGAAUCAGCAGACAAGCAGGAGUAUUAACUGAUCACAAUAAGGUUAAGAAGCUGGUAUGGGGCCAUUUUAAUUGACAUGUUGAAGGUUGGCAACUUCUUUCUCUCUCUCUCUCUCUCUCUCUCUCUCUCUCUCUCUCUCUCUCUCUCUCUCUCUCUCUCUCUCUCUCUCUCUCUCUCUCUCUAACCCUCUCUCUCUCUCCCUCCCCCCUCUCUCUCUCUCUCUUUGUGUGUGAGUGUAAGCUCCCUGCAGCCCAGCAGACUCGGUGCAGCUGUAAAGAUGUGAGGCUUGAUCGAGGAACUCGGGGGGGAAAGUGAUUGAAACAUGAUAUAUCCUCCCACUAGAUUCAUUGCAAACAUAUUGAUCUGCUUUUAUGGAGCAACCUGCAUCAAUUGCUUUGUAAUGGUCAAAAUAAGCGCUGCAGGACUCUAUAGCCAGACAUGACAAAUGUGGAGGGCUCCAUCCCUUCUCCCCAGCCACCGUUCGGCUGUCAUGCUUGACGUCUACAAACACAUUGACAGAUAGUGAGGGGCCGGCAAUCAGCUGCAACACACUCCUCUGUACGGUGUGUGGAGAAGGCCGGACAGGGAGCACGGCAGAGGGUUACCAGUGGCGUCUGCAUUACACUAUAGUGUGUAUACUUCGCUGUAUGUUACAGAGCGAUGAGGGUGACAGCCAUGCAUUGUGUAACCAGUAGAGCAAAACCAGUGGGUAAUCAGAGCGAAAUGGUGAUUGUUUCUUUUAAUCUAAUGCUAGAAGGCAGACCUGCUUUUUUCUUUUGAAACGUUGCAACAUUUGAGUUGAAAAUACCAUCUUUGACAUCCUUCUUAUCUGAGCCCUGGUAAUUAUUAGUAUUGAUGUGUUUUUUUUUGUAAUGGGCAAUCUUGCAGGGAGCUACAAUGCCUGAGAGCCAAUGUGCACAUAUACUAAGAUCAUUCUGUUGGCAGUUUCAGUAGCUAUCCUUCACGUUCCUCCUCCCUCUCGUUUUCCCUGUUAAUUGUCUUUUUCUUUUCCAAGAAUCCUCUUCAUUUUGGACAGUUUGUAUUCAGUGUUGACCAAUCACAACGCUGCGGUUGUAAUAUAAAAAGCCCCCCCCCCUCACCCACCAAAAAAAACGUAAAUAUAAAUAAUUAAAAAAGCAGCAACUCCAAAAAAACAACCAAACAAAGCGAACCCUCCGUGGUGGCGUGUCCGAUCCCUGUCGUCAUUUCAGUGGACUGACACUCAAACUCGAGGAGCGCCAGGUCCCGCCCCUCGCCGCUCCCCGUGUUCUAGAAGCCUCUCUAACGUGUCUCUCAGCGCUCCUCUCCUUCUCGGUCCAUGCCGGAGCGUUCCUGUCCGUCAGCACGAUUAAUCGUACGGUUCGAUGAGCGAGAGAAAUAUCCAGUGACCAAAACCUUUAGAGAAAAACGCACAGAUAUAUUUUUUCACCCGCGCCACCCCCCACCCCGCCCUUUACACCGUUCCUCUUUACAAGUUCAAGUAUCUCUUUUUUUUUUCUUUAUAAACAGGAGAAAAAUGUCAAAUCUACACUUCCUAGACUACUUCUUCUAUCCUACAACUGGUGCUUUAUAAGUGCCCAGCGCCGGUGAUCAGUCCAUAAACUACAAUUCAGCUUUUUUUUUUUCAUCAUUAUUAUUAUUAUUUAUUUCUACAUUAUUUCCAUUUUUGUUUUAUUCUUACUUACAUGAGGCCACUGGAUAUUAAUUUAAUGUUUUCUUUUUUUUCUUCCAAACUACGAUUAAAUUGUAAUACUUGCAGCUACAAGGUAAGAGUUUUUAAAUAUAUAUUUAUAUAUUUAUAUAUUUAUAUUCUUUUAAAAAGCGUUUAGUCCUUUGGUCCCUAUUUCCUAAGGAAUGAUGCAUGUAAAUUAUCCUGGAUUCUCCUCGUCCUCUGCUCCGCCUCUUGACCUCUUGACCUCUUGACAUCCGUCAGGAGCCCCCGUCUCAGAGCCCAACACCGGUGUAGGCACAAAAACUGAAAUGGCAGCAGGCUGGUGUGUGUGUCUGCAUGUGUGUUUGUCUGCAUGUGUGUGUGUUUGUGUGUGUGUGUUGGUGUGUGUGUGUGUAUGGGAGCAUAUGUGUGUCAGUGAAUUGGCAUUUGCACGUAUUUAUACAUGUACAAAGUAGAAUGUUUCAGAAACUUUUUUUUUGUUCUUUUCAUUUUUUGUUUUGUAGUUUUGUGGCAUCCUUUUUAAAUGUACGAAUCGUGAUCUUUGUGUAUGCGCGAGGGUUUGUGUGUGUCCUUGUGUGUAUAUCUAUAUAUGCAUGUGUAUAUUAUUCAUAUCCUGUGUAUGCAGUAUGCAUGCUUUGAGCAUUAUGAGUCUAUUAAGUGUUUUUUUUUCAUUUUGUUUUCUCUCCCCCCACAUUGUGUCUAAAAAACAGCAGCGAAACAGUUGGUCUCUGCAAAAACAAAAAAAAAAUCGUCUUCUUCACAGCAACAAAAAAGAAAAACAAGAAGAAGGAAAAAAAUGCGGCAUUUGUGAUUAGAGGAAAAAACGGAGGAAAAAGAAUUGGAAAAAAAACAAGGAGAGAAAGAAAAGCCCCGGGCUCCGUCUCCCGGUUUCGGCCUCUCAGCGGCUCCCAGCUGGAUCAGGGCACCAGCCGGCCUCCCUCGUGAUAUGUAGCAGAGCAAGAAGUCUUUGUGGUUUUACUGCACUUGUGGAAAUAAGGUGUCGAGGCCCGUCCUCC
ensembl:lncRNA